rnacentral:rRNA from 1 species
GGGUUGUGAGGUUAAGCGACUAAGCGUACACGGUGGAUGCCCUGGCAGUCAGAGGCGAUGAAGGGCGUGCUAAUCUGCGAUAAGCGCUGGUAAGGUGAUAUGAACCGUUAUAACCGGCGAUACCCGAAUGGGGAAACCCAGUGUGACUCGUCACACUAUCAUUAACUGAAUCCAUAGGUUAAUGAGGCGAACCGGGGGAACUGAAACAUCUAAGUACCCCGAGGAAAAGAAAUCAACCGAGAUUCCCCCAGUAGCGGCGAGCGAACGGGGAGGAGCCCAGAGCCUGAAUCAGCAUGUGUGUUAGUGGAAGCGUCUGGAAAGGCGCGCGAUACAGGGUGACAGCCCCGUACACAAAAGCGCAUGUGCUGUGAGCUCGAUGAGUAGGGCGGGACACGUGGUAUCCUGUCUGAAUAUGGGGGGACCAUCCUCCAAGGCUAAAUACUCCUGACUGACCGAUAGUGAACCAGUACCGUGAGGGAAAGGCGAAAAGAACCCCGGCGAGGGGAGUGAAAAAGAACCUGAAACCGUGUACGUACAAGCAGUGGGAGCACAGGUUUACCUGUGUGACUGCGUACCUUUUGUAUAAUGGGUCAGCGACUUAUAUUCUGUAGCAAGGUUAACCGAAUAGGGGAGCCGGAGGGAAACCGAGUCUUAAUUGGGCGUUAAGUUGCAGGGUAUAGACCCGAAACCCGGUGAUCUAGCCAUGGGCAGGUUGAAGGUUGGGUAACACUAACUGGAGGACCGAACCGACUAAUGUUGAAAAAUUAGCGGAUGACCUGUGGCUGGGGGUGAAAGGCCAAUCAAACCGGGAGAUAGCUGGUUCUCCCCGAAAGCUAUUUAGGUAGCGCCUCGUGAAUUCAUCUCCGGGGGUAGAGCACUGUUUCGGCUAGGGGGCCAUCCCGGCUUACCAACCCGAUGCAAACUGCGAAUACCGGAGAAUGUUAUCACGGGAGACACACGGCGGGUGCUAACGUCCGUCGUGAAGAGGGAAACAACCCAGACCGCCAGCUAAGGUCCCAAAGUCAUGGUUAAGUGGGAAACGAUGUGGGAAGGCCCAGACAGCCAGGAUGUUGGCUUAGAAGCAGCCAUCAUUUAAAGAAAGCGUAAUAGCUCACUGGUCGAGUCGGCCUGCGCGGAAGAUGUAACGGGGCUAAACCAUGCACCGAAGCUGCGGCAGCGACGCUGAUGCGUUGUUGGGUAGGGGAGCGUUCUGUAAGCCUGUGAAGGUGGCCUGUGAGGGUUGCUGGAGGUAUCAGAAGUGCGAAUGCUGACAUAAGUAACGAUAAAGCGGGUGAAAAGCCCGCUCGCCGGAAGACCAAGGGUUCCUGUCCAACGUUAAUCGGGGCAGGGUGAGUCGACCCCUAAGGCGAGGCCGAAAGGCGUAGUCGAUGGGAAACGGGUUAAUAUUCCCGUACUUGGUGUUACUGCGAAGGGGGGACGGAGAAGGCUAUGCUGGCCGGGCGACGGUUGUCCCGGUUUAAGCGUGUAGGUGUGUGUUCCAGGUAAAUCCGGUUCACUUUAACACUGAGGCGUGAUGACGAGGCACUACGGUGCUGAAGCAACAAAUGCCCUGCUUCCAGGAAAAGCCUCUAAGCAUCAGGUAACAUCAAAUCGUACCCCAAACCGACACAGGUGGUCAGGUAGAGAAUACCAAGGCGCUUGAGAGAACUCGGGUGAAGGAACUAGGCAAAAUGGUGCCGUAACUUCGGGAGAAGGCACGCUGACACGUAGGUGAAGUGAUUUACUCAUGGAGCUGAAGUCAGUCGAAGAUACCAGCUGGCUGCAACUGUUUAUUAAAAACACAGCACUGUGCAAACACGAAAGUGGACGUAUACGGUGUGACGCCUGCCCGGUGCCGGAAGGUUAAUUGAUGGGGUCAGCGCAAGCGAAGCUCCUGAUCGAAGCCCCGGUAAACGGCGGCCGUAACUAUAACGGUCCUAAGGUAGCGAAAUUCCUUGUCGGGUAAGUUCCGACCUGCACGAAUGGCGUAAUGAUGGCCAGGCUGUCUCCACCCGAGACUCAGUGAAAUUGAACUCGCUGUGAAGAUGCAGUGUACCCGCGGCAAGACGGAAAGACCCCGUGAACCUUUACUAUAGCUUGACACUGAACAUUGAGCCUUGAUGUGUAGGAUAGGUGGGAGGCUUUGAAGUGUGGACGCCAGUCUGCAUGGAGCCGACCUUGAAAUACCACCCUUUAAUGUUUGAUGUUCUAACGUGGACCCGUAAUCCGGGUUGCGGACAGUGUCUGGUGGGUAGUUUGACUGGGGCGGUCUCCUCCUAAAGAGUAACGGAGGAGCACGAAGGUUGGCUAAUCCUGGUCGGACAUCAGGAGGUUAGUGCAAUGGCAUAAGCCAGCUUGACUGCGAGCGUGACGGCGCGAGCAGGUGCGAAAGCAGGUCAUAGUGAUCCGGUGGUUCUGAAUGGAAGGGCCAUCGCUCAACGGAUAAAAGGUACUCCGGGGAUAACAGGCUGAUACCGCCCAAGAGUUCAUAUCGACGGCGGUGUUUGGCACCUCGAUGUCGGCUCAUCACAUCCUGGGGCUGAAGUAGGUCCCAAGGGUAUGGCUGUUCGCCAUUUAAAGUGGUACGCGAGCUGGGUUUAGAACGUCGUGAGACAGUUCGGUCCCUAUCUGCCGUGGGCGCUGGAGAACUGAGGGGGGCUGCUCCUAGUACGAGAGGACCGGAGUGGACGCAUCACUGGUGUUCGGGUUGUCAUGCCAAUGGCACUGCCCGGUAGCUAAAUGCGGAAGAGAUAAGUGCUGAAAGCAUCUAAGCACGAAACUUGCCCCGAGAUGAGUUCUCCCUGAGACUUUAAGUCUCCUGAAGGAACGUUGAAGACGACGACGUUGAUAGGCCGGGUGUGUAAGCGCAGCGAUGCGUUGAGCUAACCGGUACUAAUGAACCGUGAGGCUUAACCUUACAACGCCGAAG